rnacentral:rRNA from 1 species
UACAGAGGGUGCGAGCGUUAAUCGGAAUUACUGGGCGUAAAGCGCGCGUAGGCGGCUUUGCAAGUCGGGUGUGAAAUCCCCAGGCUUAACCUGGGAACUGCAUUCGAGACUGCAUUGCUAGAGUAUGGGAGAGGGAAGUGGAAUUUCCGGUGUAGCGGUGAAAUGCGCAGAUAUCAGGAGGAACACCAAUAGCGAAGGCAGCUCGCUGGGACGGUACUGACGCUGAGGCGCGAAAGCGUGGGGAGCGAACAGG